UACGGAGGGGGCUAGCGUUGUUCGGAAUUACUGGGCGUAAAGCGCACGUAGGCGGCUUUGUAAGUUAGAGGUGAAAGCCCAGGGCUUAACCCUGGAAUUGCCUUUAAGACUGCAUCGCUCGAAUUGUGGAGAGGUGAGUGGAAUUCCGAGUGUAGAGGUGAAAUUCGUAGAUAUUCGGAAGAACACCAGUGGCGAAGGCGGCUCACUGGCCCGGUACUGACGCUGAUGUGCGAAAGCGUGGGGAGCAAACAGG
rnacentral:rRNA from 1 species